rnacentral:rRNA from 1 species
UACGGAGGGAGCUAGCGUUGUUCGGAAUUACUGGGCGUAAAGCGCGUGUAGGCUGCUCGGAAAGUCGGAUGUGAAAGCCCUGGGCUCAACCUAGGAAGUGCAUUCGAAACUUCCGAGCUAGAGUUCUGGAGAGGAAGGCGGAAUUCUCGGUGUAGAGGUGAAAUUCGUAGAUAUCGAGAGGAACACCGGUGGCGAAGGCGGCCUUCUGGACAGUGACUGACGCUGAGACGCGAAAGCGUGGGGAGCAAACAGG